AGGAAAUAAGAUGUAUUUAGAGGCCUUACAGUCUAUAGUGAGUGAAUUUUGCCACAAAUUUGCACAUUUUCAGUCUUCAAAAUUAUUUCAUUUGAGAGAGAGAGAAGGGUAGGGUUUCUUGUAAUAAUAUGCACUGCUGGAACAUGAAGAAAUCAUCCUUAUCCUCUUGUACAAGUUGUAAAUGGUGCUUCCACUGCUUUUCUGUGGUGCUCUGGGCAAUAUAUCAAGCAGAGUGGCAGAUUCUUUUGACCAUGGCUGAUCCUCAGAAAAGUUUCUGGAGGGGAAGGAAGCCUGGAUUUUUGUUCUUUCCUUCCACAAGCUUUCUUUGCCUUUACUCUGUAGUACUGCUUUUUUCUGCUUAGCUCUAUGGACCUUUUAUUACUAACAGUACUGUAUGCUAUUUCUUUUUAAGUAUGUCAAGUAGUUUGAGGUUUUGUACUGAGGCCACAUCAAAGAUGGCUGACACCAGAAGAUUCUUUGGCAAUCCACUAAAGAGGGCCCUCAAAGCUUUCAUCACUGUAGCUGCUGAAACUUCAGUUUUUAUAAGUAUAAUAAAAUAAAUA